rnacentral:misc_RNA from 1 species
GAUGAAGAACGUAGCGAAAUGAGAUAAGUAGUGUGAAUUGCAGAAUUCAGUGAAUCAUCGAAUCUUUGAACGCACAUUGCGCCCCUUGGUAUUCCAUGGGGCAUGCCUGUUCGAGCGUCAUUUGUACCUUCAAGCUUUGCUUGGUGUUGGGUGUUUGUCUCGCCUUUGCGUGUAGACUCGCCUUAAAAUAAUUGGCAGCCGGCGUAUUGAUUUCGGAGCGCAGUACAUCUCGCGCUUUGCACUCAUAACGACAGCGUCCAAAAGUACAUUUUACACUCUUGACCUCGGAUCAGGUAGGGAUACCCGCUGAACUUAAGCAUAUCAAUAAGCGGAGGA